rnacentral:tRNA from 1 species
GGUUGUGGCUCAGCGGUAGAGUGCUCGCUUUGCACGUGUGAGACCCUGGGUGCGAUCCUCAGCACCA